rnacentral:tRNA from 1 species
GGUCUUAUAGUCUAUAAUGAUAUUAAAUUGCAAAUUUAAUGGAGGGGAUACCCUAAGGCUU